rnacentral:rRNA from 1 species
CAGUCGCCGCGGGAAUACAGAGGGUGCAAGCGUUAAUCGGAAUUACUGGGCGUAAAGCGUGCGUAGGUGGUGGUUUAAGUCCGUUGUGAAAGCCCUGGGCUCAACCUGGGAAUUGCAGUGGAUACUGGGUCACUAGAGUGUGGUAGAGGAUAGUGGAAUUUCCGGUGUAGCAGUGAAAUGCGUAGAGAUCGGAAGGAACAUCUGUGGCGAAGGCGACUAUCUGGGCCAACACUGACACUGAGGCACGAAAGCGUGGGGAGCAAACAGGAUUAGAUACCCCCGUAGUCCCUGUCUCUUAUAC